AAGAAACUUAGGUUAAACAUUUAAACCAAGAGCCUUCAAAGCCCUAAACAGGGGAAUAAAACCCCCUAGUCUCUG
rnacentral:tRNA from 1 species